rnacentral:rRNA from 1 species
UACGGAGGGUGCAAGCGUUGUUCGGAAUCACUGGGCGUAAAGGGCGUGUAGGCGGUCCGCUAAGUCUGAUGUGAAAGCCCGGGGCUCACCCCCGGAAGGGCAUUGGAAACUGGCGGACUCGAGUCCCGGAGAGGAAGGUGGAAUUCCUGGUGUAGCAGUGAAAUGCGUAGAUAUCAGGAAGAACACCGAUGGCGAAAGCAGUCUGCUGGGCUUAUUCUGACACUGAGACACGAAAGCGUGGGGAGCGAACGGG